rnacentral:ncRNA from 1 species
CGUCUUCAGGGCGGGGUGCAAAUCCCCACCGGCGGUAAAGCCCGCGAGCCGAAAGGUUGAUCCGGUGUGACUCCGGAGCCGACAGUAUAGUCUGGAUGGAAGAAGAUG